AAGAUGCGCGCAGCCUGAUCCAGCCAUGCCGCGUGUGUGAAGAAGGCCUUUUGGUUGUAAAGCACUUUAAGCGAGGAGGAGGCUACUUGGAUUAAUACUCUAGGAUAGUGGACGUUACUCGCAAAAUAAGCACCGGCUAACUCUGUGCCAGCAGCCGCGGUAAUACAGAGGGUGCGAGCGUUAAUCGGAUUUACUGGGCGUAAAGCGUGCGUAGGCGGCUUUUUAAGUCGGAUGUGAAAUCCCUGAGCUUAACUUAGGAAUUGCAUUCGAUACUGGGAAGCUAGAGUAUGGGAGAGGAUGGUAGAAUUCCAGGUGUAGCGGUGAAAUGCGUAAAGAUCUGGAGGAAUACCGAUGGCGAAGGCAGCCAUCUGGCCUAAUACUGACGCUGAGGUACGAAAGCAUGGGGAGCAAACAGGAUUAGAUACCCUGGUAGUCCAUGCCGUAAACGAUGUCUACUAGCCGUUGGGGCCUUUGAGGCUUUAGUGGCGCAGCUAACGCGAUAAGUAGACCGCCUGGGGAGUACGGUCGCAAGACUAAAACUCAAAUGAAAUUGACGGA
rnacentral:rRNA from 1 species